rnacentral:rRNA from 1 species
UAGGGAAUAUUGGGCAAUGGACGCAAGUCUGACCCAGCCAUGCCGCGUGCAGGAUGAAGGCCUUCUGGGUUGUAAACUGCUUUUAUCUAGGAAGAAAAAACUCUUGCGAGAGGAACUGACGGUACUAGAUGAAUAAGCACCGGCUAACUCCGUGC